UACGGAGGGUGCAAACGUUGCUCGGAAUCAUUGGGCGUAAAGCGCACGUAGGCGGCGCGUUAAGUCGGGUGUGAAAGCCCUGGGCUCAACCCAGGAAGUGCAUUCGAAACUGGCGCGCUUGAAUAUGGAAGAGGGUCGCGGAAUUCCCGGUGUAGAGGUGAAAUUCGUAGAUAUCGGGAGGAACACCAGUGGCGAAGGCGGCGACCUGGGCCAAUAUUGACGCUGAGACGCGAAAGCGUGGGGAGCAAACAGG
rnacentral:rRNA from 1 species